rnacentral:misc_RNA from 1 species
UUGGUAUUCCGAAAGGCAUGCCUGUUUGAGUGUCUUAUAAACCUCUCUCUACUAUUUACUUAGUGGUGAGCUUUGGGUGUUGCCAGCGAUGGCUCGCCUUAAAUGUCUAAGUGGAAUGCAUAAUAAGUUCUUGCAACCCUCCACUCUAACACACUUUAUAUUCUGACCUCAAAUCAGGUAGGACUACCCGCUGAACUUAA